rnacentral:lncRNA from 1 species
AAAUAUGUACCCGCAACGGUUCAUAGAUCCACAGGAUCUUUGAAAGGUUCAAUAGGUAGGUCAACGAUCGGUUCCUUACUAUCGUCCUCAUCUAAAGUGCCAUGAAAAUGGGUGAGUUUCAUAUAUUUAGUAAGGAAAACAGUAUUUAAAUAACAUCACUAAGAUUUUAAAGGCAAUUAAACUUGAAAAAUGGUACCUUAUUUACUCACCAUCAGGAAUCAUGUCAGAGAUCCAUUUCAAUAAUUAUGAAAAUAGUUUACUAUAUUUAAAGAAAAUUUCAAAUCAAUCAUGUAAAAUCAUGUCAUAAUCAUAUCAAAUCCUAUCAAUCAUAUCAUGUCAAUCAUAUCAAUCAUGUUGAAAUUAAAUAGAAAAAAUCAAACAAAU